rnacentral:rRNA from 1 species
CCAGACUCCUACGGGAGGCAGCAGUGGGGGAUAUUGCACAAUGGGGGGAACCCUGAUGCAGCGACGCCGCGUGGGUGAAGGAGCGUUUCGGCGCGUAAAGCCCUAUCGGCAGGGAAGAAGGAGGACGGUACCUGACUAAGAAGCCCCGGCUAACUACGUGCCAGCAGCCGCGGUAAUACGUAGGGGGCAAGCGUUAUCCGGAUUUACUGGGUGUAAAGGGGGCGCAGACGGCAGCGCAAGCCAGGAGUGAAAGCCCGGGGCCCAACCCCGGGACUGCUUUGGAAACUGUGUAACUGGAGUACAGGAGGGGCAGGCGGAAUUCCUGGUGUAGCGGUGAAAUGCGUAGAUAUCAGGAGGAACACCGGCGGCGAAGGCGGCCUGCUGGACUGAAACUGACGUUGAGGCUCGAAAGCGUGGGGAGCAAACAGGAUUAGAUACCCUUGUAA